UUUUCCUGCCUCAGCCUCCGGAGUAGCUGAGACCACAGGCGCCCGCCACCACGCCCGGCUAAUUUUUUUGUAUUUUUAGUAGAGACGGGGUUUCACCGUGUUAGCCAGGAUGGUCUCAAUCUCCUGACCUCGUGAUCCGCCCGCCUCGGCCUCCCAAAGAAUCUCCUUUUAAGAUUACAUUCUGUUCUCAGCCCCACGCAAACUUCUACAGACCUUCAGACAGAGCUGAAUUCCUUGGCCAGAGUAGAGUUCCACUGGCACACCGGGCAGCAAGCGCCAGCCAGCCAACCGUGCAGGCUCCCAGUGGCAGCUGUGGUUUUUCCCCCGCCCGUCGUGGCCGUUGCCGUGGCCAUUUCAUCUGGGGGCUCCAUCUGGGAUAUUCAUCAGAAGGGGUCACAGGUCGCAGGAGCCUCUCCCAACAGCUCAGGGCACAAGGUGGAAACCAGCAUUGGACAAGACAUCAUCUUAUCUCAGGUACACACACACAGACAUUCACUCCUCCUGGGAUGAUGUAGACAUACCAAUUCACUUAAAGUGUACACCUUUGGGAUGUGGGAGAAAACCCAAUUACUUGGAGAUAUUUGAGAACCUGCUAUAUAAACUCUUCUUAUGCUACAUAAAAUAGGUAAUACCUAGAAUUUAUCAAAAUUAACUCUAACUAGAUAUUAAUUUAGUCAUUUCUAAAGUCUUAGUGGGUUGCAUAAAGCAGUGCUGUCAACUGGUGAUAUAAAGAAAGUUUUAGGCCAUACUCCCUUUCCCACUGUCACCAGUGGUAUCAAUUUUGUCUACAUUUUUUCUCUCUGGCAUGUUUCUGCAGUUUUCCUUCUAUUAACUUCUUUUCUCUUCAAGACUGCCCAUAGUCAUUAACAAACAUGUUCUUAUUGCGGAAAUAGAAGAAAGAUAAAUAUGCAGUGUGAUCUCUACCGCUUAAUCAAAUAUUUGUCAUUAUUCAGGGUACUUGGAGACAUUUUCAGCUGUUGAAACAGCUGCAAACUUAGGGAUUUCCAAUGGAAGCAAAGAGAGAGAGAUUGAUACUCAGAUAUAGUAAUGUAAAAUACUCUCAUUUUACUAACAAAAAAUUAAAACUCAGAGCACUGGUUGACUUAGCAAAUGUCAUCCAUAUAUGUUGGGGAAAAGUGAAUACUUGAACUGGUAUGCUGACAAGACAGUGCUUUCCAUUCGGAUUUUCACAUGUAUGUCCCUGCAAUAUAACUUUGCCUAUUUUUCAAGAUAUUUUCUAGCCCUUCUUUUAAGAGGUAAGUACAAGCUGGGCUCGGUGGCUCAUGCCUGCAAUCCCAGCACUUUGGGAGGCCGAGGCAGGUGGAUCACCUGAGGUCAGGAGUUUGAGACCAGCCUGUCCAACAUGGAGAAACCCCAUCUCUACUAAAAAUACAAAAAUUAGCCGGGUGUGGUGGUGCAUGUCUGUAAUCCCAGUUACUCGGGACGCUGAGACAGGAGAAUUGCUUGAACCCAUGAGGUGGAGGUUACAGUGAGCCGAGAUUGCGCCAUUGCACUCCAGCCUGAGCAACAAGAGUGAAACUCCUUCUCAAAAAAAAAAAAAAAAAAAAGAGGUAGGACCAAUUUCUUCUUUCUAUGAUAUGAUAUAUAUUUCUUCUUGCUAUAAGUUCUAUGAUUAUAUUAUUUUUGCUUAUGUAUUAUGAGAUAAUAAAUUAAGAUCUCAGUAAUUUUAAAUUUCUAGAAUUUUAUAUUAUUUUAGUCAUUUUUGGGAAUGACAGAAUCUUUCACUCACAUUUCUGCUUAAUACCUUUAGUGGAUGAAAUAGCCAUCCUCUUUCCACAGGCUGGGAGACACUUUUUUCCUUGUAUUCUUCCUCUACUCGCUUCUGCAGUGGCGUGAGGGUAUCUGAAUAAACAGCCUAACACUCAUCGUUGCUUAUUCACUGGAGAGUGGGAAGAAACCCUAAAUUAAAGGGAGGGACCCAGCUGAAAUUUCCUCAUUCUCUUUUCGCAUUUUCUCACCUCAUGCAGCAAGCACAAAUGGUUAACCUUGCUCUCCACAUACAGUCCUUCAGAAUCCCAUUCAUUUAUUUAGCUGCUCAUGUAAGUGGACUUGCAGUGGACAGAAGAGUUCUCCUUCAGCAUCAGGCCCAAUUUCUCUCUCCAAAAAGUAUCAAGAAAACAUUUUAGGAGGUACGGGGAGAAGUACCAUCUAUAUAAAGCUUUACUACCUUUCCCAGUUUGUUAAAGAUGUUUAAAUCCACAUUAUCAGUGAAAUCACCAAAGAGGAGGAGAUGUACGUUGUACCUCAACCCCACAGCAAUAUGAUCCUGGCAGCAAUAAUGCAACAUGGGUUUGCCAGACAUUAUUAUAGUUUAUAUUUUGCUAAUGAGGAAAUGGAAAUGAUACAACUAAUCAAAACAUACCCAAGACUCAGACCCAGUCCUUCUCAUUUAAAAUCUGCCUCUUAUCCCAUAUAGAAAAACAUAAUUAUUAAUUUUCAUAUUAAGCUUAGGAAAUUUAAAAAGUACUAAUUGGGUCUUAAAUUUGCAAAGGUAUCUUUCAAGUCUAAAUUUUCAUUCUGCUCAUAUGCAUAAACUUCCACUAUAUAUGUGUGUGUUUGUGUGUGUGUGAGUGUAUAUAUAUAUGUAUACACACUUCUCCUAUCCUCAUGUCCUUAUGCAGUUUUCUUGGCUUGGAAUGCUUUGCUUUAUCUAUUCAAGGUUCAUUUUAAAUUUUGGGAUUUUUCUUUUUUUAAUUUUAGUUUUUAUUUUUUUUCUUGAUUUCUUCUAAAAUUAAAAACCAGGAUACAUGCGCAGAACGUGCAGGUUUGUUACACAGGUAUAUGCACGCCAUGGUGGUUUGCUGCAUCUAUUGACCCAUCCCAUAAGUUCCCCUCCCCUCACCACCCAACCCCCACAGGCCCUGGUGUGUUGUUCCCCUCUAUGUCCAUGUGUUCUCAAUGUUCAACUCCCACUUAUGAGUGAGAACACGUGGUGUUUGGUUUUCUGUUUCUGUGUUAGCUUGCUGAGGAUGAUGUCUUCCAGCUUCAUCCAUAUCCCUGCAAAGAACAUGAUCUCAUUCCUUUUUAUGGCUGCAUAGUAUUCCAUGGUGUAUAUAUAUCACAUUUUCUUUACUAAGCCUAUCAUUGAUGGGUUGGGAUGCCUAUUGUAAUCACAUAAACAUACAUUAAGAACUAAAUAACAAAUCAUUUAUCUCACAUGUAUUCAAGAUUUCAUGAUAUUAUGAAUUUGAAGUAAAAUAUUAAGUUCUAUACCACCCUUUUUAUUAUGUAUAAUCAGUAUUAAUAAUACAAAAUGAAGUCAUAACUGUAAGUAUUUUAUAUCUAACAUCUUUCAAAGUAACUUUAAGAUAUGUAAAAAAAAGAAUAAAAGUUCAAUGCUCAGAAGCUGACACAGAAUUUAAGACAGACUUAGAUUUCACAGAGUAGUAAUAAUAUCAGGUACUCAAAAUCAAACAUAUGGAGUCCCAAGGAAAUUUGUCUUGUCUCUUUAGAUCACCACUUUCCUUUUCAGAGGCAUAAACAAUAUCUCAUUCAUCUAGAUUGCCAAUAUAUUAUACAAAUACAUUCUAAGAUAUUUUAGACAUAAGAAAUACACUAGUGUAAAAUCCAUAUUGCAGUGUGAUAAAGAUUUGGUCAGAAGUCAAUUUUUUUAAAGGUUGCACCAGAAAAUAAGAAUAUAUACACCAUGCAAUACUAUGCAGCCAUAAAAAGAAUGAUAUUAUGUCUUUGUUUUUUUUUUUUUUUUGAUAUGGAGUCUCGCUGUGUCGCCCAGGCUGGAGUACAGCAGCGUGAUAUUGGCUCACUGCAACCUCUGCCUCCCGGGUUCAAGUGAGUCUCCUGCCUCAAGCCUCCUGAGCAGCUGGGACCACAGGCAUGUGCUACCACACCCGGCUAAUUUUUGUAUUUUCAGUAGAGAUGGGGUUUCUCCACAUUGGCCAGGCUGGUGUCUAAUUCCCGACCUCAGGUGAUCUGCCCACCUCGGCCUCCCAAAGUGCUGGGAUUACAGGCGUGAGCCACCAUGCCCGGCCAAUAUUAUGUCUUUUGCAGAGACAUAGAUGGAGCUGGAAGUCAUUACCCUUAGCAAACUAACACAGGAACAGAAAACCAAAUACCACAUUUUCCUGCUUAUAAGUCGGGGCUAAAUGAUGAGAACACAUGAACACACAAAGGAGAGCAACAUGUGCUGUAGACUUUAAGAAGGUGAAGGGUGGGAAGAGGGAGAGGAUUAGGAAAAAUAACUAAUGAAUACUAGGAUUAUUACACGAGUGAUGAAGUAAUCUGUGCAACAAAUCCCCAUGACUCAAGUUUACCUGUGUAACAAACCUGCACUUGUACACUGGAACUUAAAAGUUAAAAAAAAGAAA